rnacentral:rRNA from 1 species
GACGAACGCUGGCGGCGUGCUUAACACAUGCAAGUCGAACGAAGUGGCGAACGGGUGAGUAAUACGUGAGUAACCUGCCCUCCUUUUUGGGAUACGCCUUGGAAACGGGGUCUAAUACCCCACAAAGGGUGAUGGGCUCGCGGCCUAUCAGGUUGUUGGUGGGGUGAUGGCCUACCAAGGCGGUGACGGGUAGCCGGCCUGAGAGGGUGAGCGGGGACAUUGGGACUGAGAAACGGCCCAGGGUACUAAGCGAGGGAGCAGUGGGGGAUAUUGCACAAUGGUCGAAGGCGUAAUGCAGCGAGGCCGCGUGCGGGAUGAAGGCUUUCGGGUUGUAAUCCUCGUUCGGUAUCGAACGGGUAGCUGAAGAGGAAGCGCCGGCUAACUACGUGCCAGCCGCCGCGGUAAUUC